AGUCGAACGAAUCCCUUCGGGGAUUAGUGGCGGACGGGUGAGUAGCGCGUGAGAAUCUGCCUUCAGGUUCGGGACAACCACUGGAAACGGUGGCUAAUACCGAAUGUGCCGCAACGUGAAAGAUUUAUCGCCUGAAGAUGAGCUCGCGUCCGAUUAGCUAGUUGGUGAGGUAAAAGCUCACCAAGGCGACGAUCGGUAGCUGGUCUGAGAGGAUGACCAGCCACACUGGGACUGAGACACGGCCCAGACUCCUACGGGAGGCAGCAGUGGGGAAUUUUCCGCAAUGGGCGCAAGCCUGACGGAGCAAGACCGCGUGAGGGAGGAAGGCUCUUGGGUUGUAAACCUCUUUUCUCAGGGAAGAAGAAAGUGACGGUACCUGAGGAAUCAGCCUCGGCUAACUCCGUGCCAGCAGCCGCGGUAAUACGGAGGAGGCAAGCGUUAUCCGGAAUUAUUGGGCGUAAAGCGUCCGUAGGUGGUUAUGUAAGUCUGCUGUCAAAGCACAGGGCUUAACCCUGUAAAGGCAGUGGAAACUACAAGACUCGAGUGCGGUAGGGGCAGAGGGAAUUCCCAGUGUAGCGGUGAAAUGCGUAGAGAUCAGGUGGAACACCGAUGGCGAAGGCAGCAUCCUGGCCGGAGACUGACGCUGAGGCGCGA
rnacentral:rRNA from 1 species